rnacentral:rRNA from 1 species
UACGGAGGGUGCGAGCGUUGUCCGGAAUUACUGGGCGUAAAGCGCGCGCAGGCGGUUUUUCAAGUCAGUGGUGAAAGCCCGGAGCUCAACUCCGGAACUGCCAUUGAAACUGUGAAACUUGAGGAUGAGAGAGGUGAGUGGAAUUCCCAGUGUAGAGGUGAAAUUCGUAGAUAUUGGGAAGAACACCGGUGGCGAAGGCGGCUCACUGGCUCAUUUCUGACGCUCAGGCGCGACAGCGUGGGGAUCAAACAGG